GCCUACGGGGCGCAGCAGUGGGGAAUAUUGCACAAUGGGGGAAACCCUGAUGCAGCGACGCCGCGUGAGCGAAGAAGUAUUUCGGUAUGUAAACCUCUUUUGUCAGGGAGCAACGCCGGCUACGUGUAGCCGGACUGAGAGUACCUGAAGAAAAAGCAUCGGCUAACUCCGUGCCAGCAGCCGCGGUAAUACGGAGGAUGCGAGCGUUAUCCGGAUUUAUUGGGUUUAAAGGGUGCGUAGGCGGAAUGCCAAGUCAGCGGUAAAAUCGCGGGGCUCAACCUCGCUCCGCCGUUGAAACUGGCGUU
rnacentral:rRNA from 1 species